GGACUACUGGGGUUUCUAAUCCUGUUUGAUCCCCACGCUUUCGUGCCUCAGUGUCAAUAAUAGUGUAGCGAGCUGCCUUCGCAAUGGGUGUUCUAUGUCAUAUCUAAGCAUUUCACCGCUACAUGACAUAUUCCGCUCACCUCCACUACAUUCAAGACAGAUAGUAUCAACGGCAGUUUCUAAGUUAAGCUUAGAGAUUUCACCACUGACUUACCUGCCCACCUACGCACCCUUUAAACCCAGUGAAUCCGGAUAACGCUUGCACCCUCCGUAUUACCGCGGCUGCUGGCAC
rnacentral:rRNA from 2 species